AUGGGUGCUUCUGCUGCCUUCUUCUACCUCCUGCUGUCCCUCUGGGUUCAGGAUGCAGCUGCAGCUGGUCUUGGCUUCACAAGAAGUGAUUUUCCACGGGGAUUCGUCUUUGGAUCUGGAACCUCGGCAUAUCAAUAUGAGGGUGCUGUUUCUGAGGGAGGCAGGAGCCCAAGCUAUUGGGACACUUUCACUCACGCAGGCAAAAUGUCAGACAAAAGCACGGGAGAUGUUGCUGCAGAUGGGUACCAUAAAUACAUGGAGGAUGUCAAGCUCAUGUCUGAGACAGGCCUAGAGGCCUAUAGGUUCUCCAUCUCCUGGUCAAGGCUCAUUCCAAAUGGCCGCGGAGCUGUCAACCCCAAAGGGCUACAGUACUACAAUAACCUCAUUGAUGAGCUAGUGAAUCAUGGAAUUCAAGUCCAUAUCACACUUCACCAUAUAGAUCUCCCUCAGAUUCUUGAAGAUGAGUAUGGUGGAUGGUUAAGCCCCAGAAUUGUUGAAGAUUUCACAGCAUAUGCAGAUGUUUGCUUCAAGGAGUUUGGAGAUAGGGUUGCAUCAUGGACGACAAUGAAUGAGCCAAACAUUGGUGCAUUGGCCUCUUAUGAUGUUGCUAUAUUCCCUCCUGGUCGUUGCUCGGAUCCAUUUGGAGUAACAAAGUGCACCUCUGGGGACUCUAGUGUGGAACCAUACAUAGCAGCUCAUAAUACCCUUUUGGCGCAUGCAACGGUUGUCAGUCUGUACAGAAAAAAAUAUCAAGCCAUGCAAAACGGAGUUGUUGGCAUAAGUAUUUACUCUUUCUGGAGUUAUCCAUUGACAAAUUCCACUGUGGAUUUAGAAGCAACUAGGAGAUGUAUAGAUUUCUACUUUGGCUGGAUACUAAAUCCGUUGGUGUUUGGGGACUACCCACAAGCAAUGAAGAAGAAUGUUGGCUCUCGCCUUCCACCCUUCACGGAAGUUCAGUCUGAACUUAUCAAGGGUUCUUUAGAUUUUAUUGGAAUAAAUCACUACUACUCUCUCUACGUGAAUGAUCGCCCUCUGGAAACAGGCGUUCGAGACUACAAAGCAGACAUGUCAGUUAGUUUAAGGGGUUCUAGGAUAGACCCACCAUCUACUCAGGGCCCCCCAACAAAUGUUCCAAGUGAUCCCAAAGGGUUGCAGCUUCAGCUGGGGUACCUGAAAGAAACCUAUGGGAACCUUCCCGUCUAUGUCCAAGAGAAUGGCAUGGGAACCGCCGCCGACGGUCUGGAUGACACCGAAAGGGUCAGUUACCUGAGCAGCUACAUGGAGAGCACACUGAACGCGAUGAGGAACGGGGCCGACGUGAGAGGCUAUUUCGCCUGGGCAUUCAUGGAUUUGUUUGAGCUCCUGUCCGGGUACCAGUCGAGGUACGGGCUGUACCGGGUCGACUUUGCUGACGAGAGGCUGCCGCGGCAAGCUAGGCUCUCGGCUCGCUGGUACUCCGCCUUCCUCAAGCACAACGGAAGCUCUGCCCUGGUGUCGAGAACGCCGGUGAACCAGGCCCUGAACUCGGGGUCCUGA
rnacentral:rRNA from 1 species